CUUAGCUUGACAUCAGUUUAGCGUUAACUGCGGCUAGCUAAACUGGCCCCAUUAGAGAAGCCAACCAGCUGCGUCACACUCUGUCAUUAACGAGGACACUGUUGCUCCAGAAACGCCUCUCGGCCUCGACGCGAUCAACAGGUGCAGCAAGUCCCAGAUGCUUAAGACGGCACAACCGCUACCAAUUCCCCGGGCCUUGAUGUGAACUCCGGUCCUGCUUCCAGGACGGAAUCAUUUUCUGUUCACGCGUGCAUCCCAGGGCCCACCUGACCGUCCUGCGCUGUCGGCUCUGGUGCGCUUCCUCUUCCAGCCAGCGUUUUAUUAUUCUUGACAGAGUUCAACAAACACAUCUGGUCAGAGGAUAAGAGGCGAUGGAAGGAGGGUGCCAAGAGGC